rnacentral:rRNA from 1 species
AUUCCUGAAGGAACGUUGAAGACGACGACGUUGAUAGGCCGGGUGUGUAAGCGCAGCGAUGCGUUGAGCUAACCGGUACUAAUGAACCGUGAGGCUUAACCUUACAACGCCGAAG